CUUGAAAAUGGCAAACCUGCCGUGAGGUGGGGGCGCAAAGCCACGAGUCUUUUGUUGACAAAACGUCAAUAAAAGACAGUCGGGUUGCCAAGG
rnacentral:ncRNA from 1 species